AAGAUUUUAAGUUAAAUAAACUAUUAACCUUCAAAGUUUAAAAUACAUUAAAGUAGAUCUUA
rnacentral:tRNA from 1 species